rnacentral:rRNA from 1 species
AUUGAACGCUGGCGGGCAGGCCUAACACAUGCAAGUCGAGCGGUAGAGAGGUGCUUGCAUCUCUUGAGAGCGGCGGACGGGUGAGUAAUGCCUAGGAAUCUGCCUAGUGGUGGGGGAUAACGUUCGGAAACGGACGCUAUACCGCAUACGUCCUACGGGAGAAAGCGGGGGAUCUUCGGACCUCGCGCCAUUAGAUGAGCCUAGGUCGGAUUAGCUAGUUGGUGAGGUAAUGGCUCACCAAGGCGACGAUCCGUAACUGGUCUGAGAGGAUGAUCAGUCACACUGGAACUGAGACACGGUCCAGACUCCUACGGGAGGCAGCAGUGGGGAAUAUUGGACAAUGGGCGAAAGCCUGAUCCAGCCAUGCCGCGUGUGUGAAGAAGGUCUUCGGAUUGUAAAGCACUUUAAGUUGGGAGGAAGGGCAGUAAGUUAAUACCUUGCUGUUUUGACGUUACCAACAGAAUAAGCACCGGCUAACUUCGUG